ACAAGUCACGUGUUUCACAAGUAUCAGGUGAGGCGGUGUCCCGGGUGAGGGUGUGUCCUCAUGUGCAAUAUAAGAGGUCUGAGCGGUGCACUCUUGCUGUCUUCCAUUGACAUUUGCAGCGGCAUCUUGAACGACACUGAAAUCCAGACGACUUUGCCAACAUGUCCCAGUCACCACCGAAGCUAAUAUGUGGAAUGGUCCUGCUCCAGGAAUGCUUCUAUGAGCAUGCAAAGAAAAGUGGAGACCCCAAAACUAUAACCAAGGGAGAUUUUGCUGAAAUGCUUCGCAAAGACUGCUGCAUGGAUGUCAAGGACGCCGACAAGAAGAAGGACUUCUUUGAUUCUCUGGAUUCCAAUCAAUGGGGAUGGCGUUAUCGACUUCACCGAGUUUUGUGUUCUCAUGGCGUCUUUUAUGAUGAUGAUGGAGUCUUUUAAAGCAUAAUAAAGAAGAAAAACACAUCUAGAA